rnacentral:rRNA from 1 species
CCUACGGGUGGCAGCAGUGAGGAAUAUUGGUCAAUGGGCGUAAGCCUGAACCAGCCAAGUCGCGUGAGGGAUGAAGGUUCUAUGGAUCGUAAACCUCUUUUAUAAGGGAAUAAAGUGCGGGACGUGUCCCGUUUUGCAUGUACCUUAUGAAUAAGGAUCGGCUAACUCCGUGCCAGCAGCCGCGGUAAUACGGAGGAUCCGAGCGUUAUCCGGAGUUAUUGGGUGUAAAGGGUGCGUAGGCGGCCUUUUAAGGCAGCGGUGAAAGUCUGUGGCUCAACCAUAGAAUUGCCGUUGAUACUGGGAGGCUUGAGUAUGUUUGAGGCAGGCGGAAUGCGUGGUGUAGCGGUGAAAUGCUUAGAUAUCGCGCAGAACC